rnacentral:rRNA from 1 species
CAGGAUGAACGCUGGCGGCGUGCCUAAUACAUGCAAGUCGAGCGAACAGAUAAGGAGCUUGCUCCUUUGACGUUAGCGGCGGACGGGUGAGUAACACGUGGGUAACCUACCUAUAAGACUGGAAUAACUCCGGGAAACCGGGGCUAAUGCCGGAUAAUAUUUAGAACCGCAUGGUUCUAAAGUGAAAGAUGGUUUUGCUAUCACUUAUAGAUGGACCCGCGCCGUAUUAGCUAGUUGGUGGGGUAAUGGCUUACCAAGGCAACGAUACGUAGCCGACCUGAGAGGGUGAUCGGCCACACUGGAACUGAGACACGGUCCAGACUCCUACGGGAGGCAGCAGUAGGGAAUCUUCCGCAAUGGGCGAAAGCCUGACGGAGCAACGCCGCGUGAGUGAUGAAGGUCUUCGGAUCGUAAAACUCUGUUAUUAGGGAAGAACAAAUGUGUAAGUAACUGUGCACGUCUUGACGGUACCUAAUCAGAAAGCCACGGCUAACUACGUGCCAGCAGCCGCGGUAAUAC